ensembl:snRNA U6 U6 spliceosomal RNA
AUGCUUGUUUUGGCAGCACAUGUACUAAAAUUGGAAUGAUAUAGAGAAGAUUAGUAUGGCCUCUGCACAAGGAUAUCAAAAAAUCAGAUUAGAAUUCCAAAUUACUU